CCAGCCCCUGUGCCCACCACCAUUGCCACUGCACCUGCCCCCACUGCUGCUGUGUCUGCUGCUGCCACCAUGCCCACUGCCACUGUGUCUGUUCCUCCUCCACCUGCUGCAACACAGAGCAGGCUCCAGGUUGCUGCCACUGUGAAGGCCCUGCUGGCGCGGGGGAAGCCUUUGUCUGCUUCACAGCUGGCACAAAAAAUAUUGUCUCCAGCCAAACCCUCUGCAGUGCCACGUUGCCCCCCUUCGUCACAGUCCACAGCCCAGAGACAGCUCUUUACCUGUGGUGAGUAUCAGUUUAUGUGUACAGGUGUGCUGGUGACAUGUGCUUAGUUUUCUAUAUUAUUUUACAGACACUGCUGCUGGGGAUUUUUUUGAGGAGGAAGACGACCAGGAGAUGGUGAUGGUGGCCUCACAGGCUGAGGAACAACUUCCUCAAGAGAAAUGGCACUUAUCAAGUGUCAAGCUACAUUUACUCUUUGAGUGCACUUCAUCAAAGCAAAAAGGGAACUUAAAGGUGUAUGUAAACUGUAUUUCUUUCAUUUUUGUCACAAUCACUGACCAAAGCUCAUUCCUCAUCUCACACCUCCAUUCUUCAUCUCACACCUCCCCUAAGUGUGGCUGCAGAAUGUUGUAGUUUAUAGGUGCUCACAGUAUGUGUUAGAGCUGCUUUGCUUCAUACUUGGCUGAUCCAUCCCACUUUUCUUUUUGUAUUUGACCUAAUGGUGCUUGGGUGAAAAACAGGAUGAUAUUCACAGCUUCCUUCCAUAACUCCAGUGUUUCAUCAUCAUGUCGCCUUGCUACUAAUCAGACAUGCUUUCUACUAAUGGUUGUAGUCGUAGUGGCUGUCCAGCAGUGCUGAGAAAGACAUGCAGUGAAAAUCUUUACAUAAAAACAAUAAACUAAUUGUUUUGUCUCUUCUUGCGCAGCCACUGCUGCCUCAAGAGAGCCUGCUCGCGCCCCUGUUCCUGCCCUGGCCCCGGCCCCUGCUCCUCCAGCUGUGUGGACUCCUGGCCCGGUGUUCCAUCCCCCUGCAGAGCUUCCUGUCCACUGGAAUGAGCACCUCCCAUCAUUCCAGCAAGACUGGAUCAGGAAGACUCUGUUCAGGGCCAACGCUAAAACAGGGAAGCCAGAGCUGAUACCAAAUCCCAACUUCUGGUGUUACCCUCCCCAGCCCCCGACCAUCUUCACUCAGCCUCCUGCCUCUCCUGACCUCUUCUUCUGCCGCCCUCUGUUCCUCUGGAUGCCCCUGAAGAUGUGCUCCAUCCCACUCGUCUGUGUCCAGCCAGCCUGCAAUAACCACAAGUUGACAGCUGCUGGGCUCUACCGCACUGUGCGCAAGGUUCUGGACAUAGAUGGGUGGUAUGAUAUGGCCACAGAGUAUCUAGAGUGCAAGGGGUGCAAGAAGAAGUAUCCAGCUUGGUCUGAGGACAUCCUGGGACAGCUCGACAUGGGACACCGCAGAAAAUUCCCCGCCAUUCUGACAUACAGGUAUAACACAUUCAUGUACGAUGUACAGUGUACGAUAAUGUGUUUGUACUGUAUACAAUAGAAUACAUUGCUUUACUGCCAUUAACAUUAAAAUAAUAAGAUGUGACAUUGAACAGAAUUUUUUGACUGUUUGUAGGUACUCGUGUGACUACCGUGUG